rnacentral:rRNA from 1 species
AACGAACGCUGGCGGCAUGCCUAACACAUGCAAGUCGAACGAAGCCUUCGGGCUUAGUGGCGCACGGGUGCGUAACGCGUGGGAAUCUGCCCUUGGGUUCGGAAUAACAGUUAGAAAUGACUGCUAAUACCGGAUGAUGUCUUCGGACCAAAGAUUUAUCGCCCAAGGAUGAGCCCGCGUAGGAUUAGGUAGUUGGUGGGGUAAUGGCCCACCAAGCCGACGAUCCUUAGCUGGUCCGAGAGGAUGAUCAGCCACACUGGGACUGAGACACGGCCCAGACUCCUACGGGAGGCAGCAGUGGGGAAUAUUGGACAAUGGGCGAAAGCCUGAUCCAGCUAUGCCGCGUGAGUGAUGAAGGCCUUAGGGUUGUAAAGCUCUUUUACCAGGGAUGAUAAUGACAGUACCUGGGGAAUAAGCUCCGGCUAACUCCGUGCCAGCCGCCGCAGUAACAC